rnacentral:rRNA from 1 species
CUGGCGGCGUGCCUAACACAUGCAAGUCGAACGGGGUGAAGCCCUUCGGGACUUCACUUAGUGGCGAACGGGUGAGUAACGCGUGAGAAACCUGCCUUUCAGUGGGGGACAACAGUUGGAAACGACUGCUAAUACCGCAUAACGUAUUUUGGGGGGCAUCCCUGAAAUACCAAAGCUUUAUGUGCUGAAAGAUGGUCUCGCGUCUGAUUAGCUUGUUGGCGGGGUAACGGCCCACCAAGGCGACGAUCAGUAGCCGGUCUGAGAGGAUGAACGGCCACAUUGGGACUGAGAUACGGCCCAGACUCCUACGGGAGGCAGCAGUGGGAAUAUUGGGCAAUGGGGGAAACCCUGACCCAGCAACGCCGCGUGAAGGAAGAAGGCUUUCGGGUUGUAAACUUCUUUACCAGGGACGAAGGACGUGACGGUACCUGGAGAAAAAGCAACGGCUAACUACGUG